CCAGUAGCGGGGGAUAACUACGCGAAAGCGUAGCUAAUACCGCAUACGCCCUACGGGGGAAAGCAGGGGAUCGCAAGACCUUGCACUAUUGGAGCGGCCGAUAUCGGAUUAGCUAGUUGGUGGGGUAACGGCUCACCAAGGCGACGAUCCGUAGCUGGUUUGAGAGGACGACCAGCCACACUGGGACUGAGACACGGCCCAGACUCCUACGGGAGGCAGCAGUGGGGAAUUUUGGACAAUGGGGGAAACCCUGAUCCAGCCAUCCCGCGUGUGCGAUGAAGGCCUUCGGGUUGUAAAGCACUUUUGGCAGGAAAGAAACGUCGCGGGUUAAUACCCCGCGGAACUGACGGUACCUGCAGAAUAAGCACCGGCUAACUACGUGCCAGCAGCCGCGGUAAUACGUAGGGUGCAAGCGUUAAUCGGAAUUACUGGGCGUAAAGCGUGCGCAGGCGGUUCGGAAAGAAAGAUGUGAAAUCCCAGAGCUUAACUUUGGAACUGCAUUUUUAACUACCGGGCUAGAGUGUGUCAGAGGGAGGUGGAAUUCCACGUGUAACACUGAAAAUGCGUAGAUAUGCAGGAGGAACACCGAAUGGCGAAAGCAAAACUCCUGGGGAUAACACCUGACGUCUUAUGGCACGAAAAGAAAUUUU
rnacentral:rRNA from 1 species